AUGUAUUUGGAUUUAAAGGAACAUUUCUGGUGGACAGGGAUGAACAAGGAUAUCGCCGAGUAUGUGGCCGUAUGUGAUGUAUGUCAGAGAGUGAAGGCAGAGCAUCAAAAGCCAGCAGGAUUGCUACAGCCUAUGCCGAUACCCAAAUGGAAGUGGGAUAAACUUGGCAUGGAUUUUAUCAGCGGAUUACCCAGGACCAAAUCAGGAUACGAUUUUAUAUGGGUAGUAGUUGACCAUUUAACCAAAGUGGCACACUUUAUCCCUGUGAAAACAACUUAUACUAGUGCAAAGUUGGCCAAGAUAUAUAUGACUAGGAUCGUAUGUCUGCAUGGAGUUCCGAGGACCAUCGUAUCGGAUAGAGGGACACAGUUUACCUCAAAGUUUUUGCAUCAGCUGCACAAGACCUUAGGAACCAGAUUGGAGUUCAGUACAACAUUUCACCCGCGGACAGAUGGACAGACCGAGAGAGUCAACUAG
rnacentral:rRNA from 1 species